CCUGAAUCAAAUUUCCCUCUAUCCGUUCAAAAACCCAACUAGAACCAGCCCAAACCCAUUUCUUACCCGGUUCGACUCUACGUCGUCCAAACGACGUAGUUAUAAUUCUAAACUACGUCGUUUCAUCCGUCCCCAUCAUUAAAUGACCAAAAUCACCCUUGGUCUUUCAUUUUACAUUAUUCAAAAUAAAGGAAAAACCUAAUCCCCUCUUCUGUUAAAUCACCGCCUCCCUCCGCUAUAGCUCCGCCACCCGAGAAUCGCCUCACUACAACGGAGCACCUCUAAAUAUCACCAAAUUUUAACCAGUUGAUCCUCAAUGUCUCCUCAUUCUUGUCGUACCAUCAAUUUCUCCAAAAGACCACCCAAUUUCUCUGAGUUUUAGAUCACAGAAUAAAAUUCCAAUUUUUUUCUCCCUUUCCCAAAUUUUUUGGAUUAAUCAUCAAUCCAUAGUAAACACCUCGUGAAUUACCCAACUCUUUAACAAAAUAAAUUCGUUUGAAAAAUCUAGAAGACAUUCUUGUGGAUUUGGUUAAAUUUCAGACGAAUGGUUCUCGAGUUUUUCAUUCUUUCGAGCCUCUGUUCCGUUUUCUCUUGCCAAGCAUUGAUGAUUGCUGCAUGAAUCAUUAGCCAUGAACAAAAAUUCGGCUAAUAUUUGAGUGGAAAUUCUCACCGUUUGGUCGAGCUUUUAGAUUCGCCAGAGUUCGAGUUCGAGUCAUCUUUGUUAUCAAAGAUUUUGAAGUUAAUUGGAUUCCCUUGGUAUUUUUCUUGUUCCUUUCUUCUUUAAGUUCAGUCAUAAAGUUCUUCCUCUGUUCUGUAGACUAGAUUAAAUAUGUCGGUCAGUAAUUUAGUAUUGAUUUGCAUUGUUCUGUUAAAGUAUUUUAUUUAGAAAAAAGAAAUAAAGAAUAAUUAUAUAUACACUGUUUCAGUCUCAGAUUGGACUUGCCAUUUCUUUUCUCUAAAGUUUUGUGGUUUGGACUGGGUUUUGGGGUUAUAGUACAAGCCCAUGAGUGAAGGUCCAAAUUUUGAAGCCCAUUCGUUGGCCCAAGUUUGGGACUGAGUCUUGGGUUAAUUUGACCCCAUUUGAUCUUAAGGGUAAAUAUUAGAGUUUUAAAUGUUAGUUUAGGAAUUUAAUUAGGGAGAAUCUGCUGUAAGUAACUGAGCAAACCUCUUGGAAGGUAGGGUGGGAAUUAUUUCGAAAAUCUGAAUUUUAAAACUAAGGUCCCCUAAGCAAAAAUGAAAAUUCAAAAAGGGUUAAAAUGCGAAAUCUGAUAUCCUGGGGAUACCUUAAAAGCUUGCUUAUAAAGGAAUCAUUUCUUCUUUAGCAAGACAGAUAAUUAAGAGAUAAAAAACCUAUAAAAAUCGAAAGGGCUGAAGUUAUUUUCCUUUCAAAAAAAAUACUGAAAUUGUUGAGUUUUCUACUUGAUUUCAAGUUUUAAUUCCUUUGUGAAAAGUCAGAUUUUAAAUGAUUCAGCAGAAAUGGUGUAUUUUGGAUUCUGAACAUCAGAAUUUGGGUUUGAAAAUUUGAGGCUUGACUUGCUAAUUCUGUUACUGUUUCAUUGUUGGGUUAAGUUGAUUUCAGUUGUUGUUUAUUGUUGAUUCUUCACCUUUUUUUUCCAUGUUCAUUACCAUGUAUUACUUCAAACCAUUGUCAACGAGUGACUAAGAACAUGUAUUUCGAGCUGAGGACUGACCGAAUACAAGUUGUUUUGUUCUUUUUGGAUUUCCCUUCAUCUGCUUCUUCUACUUCCUUAAUUGUUCUGUAAUAGACCUCGUAUUGUACAUGUUAGCCUAAUUGCUAUAUUGUAGAAAUGAAUUUGUGCCGUUUAACAGUUCCUCAUUUAUAUAAUGUCUUAAUAGCUUGAUUUACUAUGUUUUCUACUUAAUUUCUGAUUUAGGAAGUAUAGUUUGCAUGCUUAUGUUUGAUUUAGGACUAUUAGAGAUAGUGCAGUAGAUGGUUUUCUAGUUAUACGACCAACUUUUUUUAUAUUUUGCUGAGAGUCAGUGUGUUGAUUUCAUAUGGAAUUUGCAAAAUGACGAGUGUAAUUUGCUAUUUGAAGGGAAUUGUGAUGUGAUCUAAGGUUUGCUUGUUAUGUGUUGCUUGAAAAAAAGGUUUGACUUGUGAUAUAUAGGCCUAUGAUAAGAGUAGUUUAAUUCACCCAUUAGUCUUGUUUAAUGGUUUUGAGAAGGAAACAAUUCAGUGUUUAACGUCCUGUGAAAUGAGAGUUUGAGUCAUGUAGUUUUGAAGUCUGUUUUGUCGCUAGAAGAGUUCUGAGGCAAGGUGUGAGAGAUUUCAUAUUAUACUGUAAAUACUUUCAAAAUUGAGUAAUCUUAGAGGUUGAAUAUUGCUAUGUGUAGUGGAAUAAAUACACCUGAAAUUAACCAUUUCUUUAAGGCUGUUUGGAAUGAGAUUUAGUGAUUGGGGUGAGACUUCGUCUUUGUUUAGUAGAUUCUAAAUGAAUGUGUUUGGUUUCUCAUGACCUUAAAGAAUGCUGCCAUCUUGGAAGGGAUUUGAAUAUAAAAAACGUGUUUUGUAUUUGUCUGCAUUUGCGAAAACUUUCCACUAAUUGUUUAAUUCUAAGCUCUAUGCAUAAUGGGCAAUUUUGGCUUAAUUAUCAUGUCGAGACGUGCAACUGGGCCCCACAGCAUCGACACAAUGCUCUCUUGAUGUUCCAGCUACAGGCUCCAUUCGAGCCUAGUUCCCUUUUGGGUUUUCGGCGAGCAAGCUCGCGUAAAUGCCAAUUGGGCUUCUUGGUCAAUCAGGUUUCUUGCACAGCCGAACGCUGGCUUCAUUUUAUUUUUAAUGAUUCUCAAGGCUAGCUUAUUCGUCUGUCUAGUUUGAAUUCAAACCGCAUUAAGCCGUAGCUAGUUAAUUGGACUUUGCUUUAGACUUGAGGCGAGUCAUAUUAGACAAGUUAUAAUUUACGACCCUCAAAACUAAGUUUAGAAAUAUUUUAAUAAAUAGUCGAGGUGUGCCGUGCCAUAUAAAAUCUUAAAUGCACGGUACUUAUUUAAUCAGUGUUUUAAAAUCCUUAGAAUUCAUGGCGUUCCAUAUAGUGAAUUUUUCAUGGCCCUCGCAAAGUUUAAAAUAUGUAGUUGCUUUAGGCGCGUAAUUUAAAAUUACCUUCCAAACUCAGGUGUGCAUUUCAUGUGACCCUGAUCUAAAUCUCAAUAACGUUAAAUAAAAUGAGGUCGUGGACCGCGAGUGAUUUCAUGUGGUAUGGUUCAAAGGCGUGUUUUAGAUAACGUUGAAUCCUCCAAAAAUUAAUUAAAAGUGGUUAAUAAGUUAAAAUGCACAUUAGGCGAAAGCAUGUGUUAAAAUAAGAUAAUAGGCCAAUUGUAAUAGUUUAAGCGACCAUGGUAGAACCACGGAAUGGGGGAAUGCCUAACACCUUCUCCCGGGUUAAUAGAAUUCCUUAUUAAGAAUUUCUAGUUCACAGACUUCAAAAGCAAAGUUGAAUUUCGUCGAUUUGGGAUUUCAAGCUAAAUCGGUGACUUUGGACACCAUAAUAAAAAUUCCAAUUGCGGAUUCUGAAACAAACUAAUCUCAUUUCGAAUAAUGUCACUUCAAUUAGAAAGACUUACUUGUACUACUUUUGAGUGAUGUAAAAAAAAGGUGUGACAGUAAGGAUAAAUUUGACCAAAUAGUAUAAUAUUAAUCGGAUAAUAUAAUAAAUAUUAAAUAUACAUAAUGUCCGAAAAUAUAUGGAUAUAUCCGGCUAUUCUCCCUUUUAAUUUUGUCGUUGGAAAAAUGCUCUUACACUUCUCAGUGUCUUUCAGUGUUGCCAUAAGUUUAUUGAAAGUACGUAGUUGAAGAAUUUUUACAUCUAUCUUUUUGUUGCAUGUAUUGAAAUAGGUCGUUGUCCCUUUUUGUGAUCUCUGCCUUGGGUGCUGCAUAAUCCACGUGAAUAUUGUUACCAAAACCAUAUUAACCCACAUUUUUCGAAUCACUGUUUCUUUAUCUCUCUGCAUUUACUUUGGUGAGGUGGGGGGUGGGUGGAAAUAUCACUACUUUGAUUUGUCGCUUAGUCAUGUACUCCUACUGAUAUACUGCAUAUAUGCUGCCAACACCCAUAAACUCCUAAUUAGUGCUAUUAAAUAUUAAUUAGUGCAUUCAACAUUCUAAAUAGAGAUUUCUUUUGAUGUUUACAUAGAAAGAAUAUGAAAACAAAUUGGGUGGACUCAAACGACUCGACCGGUCGUUUUGAGCUAUUAGACUUUGAUCGCUAGUUCUUGGGAAUAACUUGCCAUGUGCAAUGUACUAUGACUGAUGUAGAUCAUUGGUUUUGGUUUUCAGGAAAUUUGGAAUAAAUUUGAAAGAAAUAGUCUCAGUUGAAAGCUUUGAAUUUGAAAGGAUUGACCAAGAGUUGACUUUUUGUAUAUGAGCAUGGAUCGGAAUUUUUAUGAUUUGGUUAGCUUCAUUGGGUGAUUUAUGAUUAGGAGUGCCGCUGGAAUGCAUUUUGGAAGUCUGUGGAAGGAUUUGGUUUGAAUUGGCAAAGUUAGUAUUUUGGCGAAUUCCAAUUGAUCGGUGAGAUUUUGAUAUAGAGGUCGGAAUGGAAUUCCGAGAGCUACAGUAGCUUCGUUAUAUCAUUUGGGGUGUUUUUGUAAAAUUUCAGGUUAUUUGGACGUCGUUUGGCCGGACUUUUGAUCGAAAGUGUAUUUCGGAAGUUUUUGGAAACUUAUGCAUGAAUUCGAUGAGUUUUGAGUAAUUUGAUGUUGGUUGAGGUGUUUUGAUUAUUGGAACAAGUUUGAAUGAUGUUAUGGAUUAUGUUGGAAUGUUUGGUUGAGACAGAGGCCUCGGGUGUGUUCCGGAUAGGUCCUGGGGUGUCUUUAGGCUAAAAUAUAGAUGUUGGAGGCCUGGAGGGUCAAAUCCCUGAACCCGCGACCGCUGUCCGUGGUCAUACUUUUCGCUGACCGCGGUGGGAGGUUUCGCGGACGUGGUCGUGCUCUCACGGUCCGUAGUGAAGUAGUUAGGCCACUGAUCCGACUUCGGAAGCUCAUAUCUUUUGGUACACAUGGAUCUUUGAGAUUAUUCAAAAAUAAAAGUUGCAGCUCUUUCAAUCUAGUUUUCAGAAACAUAUUAUAAUGGCCAUUUGGACAUAUGUAGCGAAAGUUAUGACCAAAAUACAAAAGCCUACCAUCGUAAAGAACACUUGUGAGACCACAUCAUUUUUGCGCGGAUCGCUAUGGUUUUGCGCGGCCGCGGUCAAUUUUGUUCGGCCCGUGGAGAUGGAAAUCUGAGAGUUACUCUAUAAAUACAAUGUUUUGGGUUUUAUUUGAUAUUUUGCCCAAGAGAACUCAGCUUUUGGCGAUUUUUCGAAGGUUUUUCAAGAAAUUCGUUGGGGUAAGUGAUUCUAACUCAGAUUUGGCUAGAGUACAUGAAUCUAACAUUGAAUUCAUCAUUUAAUUCGUCAUUCGGGAUGGAAUUCGGGAAAAAAAUUGUGGAAUCUUUCAAAAACAUGAAAUGACGAUUUGACGGACUAAAUGGUGUCGAAAUUGGCUAAUUUUCAUAUGGUUAGACUUGUGAGAGUAUAAGGAUUCUAGUUUAGUAAAUUUUUGUUAAAUCUCGAAAUGUGGGCCCGAGGUUGGGUUUGACCAAUUUUGGAAUUUUGUGGUAAUUUGAUUAUUUUCAAGUGGGCUUUGUUCCCUUGGCAUAUUUUGAUGGUUUAGUACUGAUUUCGGCUAGAUUUAGAGCAUGCAGAGGCCGAUUCGAGAGGCAAAGGAAUCGCUGGCUAGAGUUUAGGCCAGAUAUAGGUGAGUAAUGAUUGUAAAUGAUGUUCUGAGGGUUUGAAACCCCGAAAUUACACAUCGUAGUGCUAUAUUGAGGUGACUUGCACGUUGGAUAGCGCGCGUGGGGUAGAGUACUAUUGGGAAUUGUACUUGGUCCGUCCUGAUUGAUGAUUUUUACUGUGUACUUAACUGAAACAUAUUUGUUAUCCUAAUGAUUUGGGCUGAUUGCUUUAUUUGGGCUUCGUGCCAGCUAUUUGAACCCUUCCGGGGAUGAUUUGUUGAUAUUUCCUCACUGUUUUGAUUUUAUACUUGUAACUCAGUCAUGUAUUAUCUAUUGUUUUCAAAGCUGAGCCAAGUUUACUUUGCUUUAACACGUGAAAUGAGAUUUCCAACAAUGUUUUGGGCUAAGCUUCAUGUUUUACUAUUGCCCGGGGGGCUUAUGUGAUUUUUGACUGAGUAAGGCCGAUGGCUUGUGUUGUGAGGAUAGUUUUGGAUCGGGCUGCACGCCGUAAUAGUGAGAUUCUAAUAUUGAUAUGAGGCCGAUGGCCUAGAUUUGUGCCACGAGAUGUCUUGAUAUUGCGCUUGGGUCGUAAGGGGCCCCUCCGGGUGUCUGAACAUCCCUAGUGAGCGCCGUCGACGAUAAAUUAAUUGGGCUGCACUCCGCAGCAGUACCGAUACUGUUUUAUGUGUUUACUUGUUUAUUGUCUGCCAUUAUCUAUAGUUGUGCUAUUUCAUGUGAUAUCUACCUGAUUGCUUGGCAUUUUCUGCUAAGUGAGUGUUGCGCCCGAGGGGCGAAUUUUCAUGCUUAUUUGCACUAGUUGUCUUCCACUCAUUUUCAUAACUUUUUGAAAAAGUCAUUUUCAAAAGAGGUUUAUACUAAGCUAAGGCGUUUUCUAAGAUUUCACAGUUUCAUUUUUUUUCUCAAAAGGUUAUACACUGCUUCUACACAGCAUGAUGAUUUGCCUUACGUGAUUUCUUAUUGCUCAGUUAUUAUUUACCUUUAUUACUCACUGAGUUGGAGUAUUCACUUUACUCCCUGCACCUCGUGUGCAGAUGCAGGUAUUUAUUCACCCAGUAGCGGGUUUUGAGCGGAUCAGAAGCUGAGUCAUCGGAGUUUAUCUAGGUGACUGCCAGCAUUUGCAGCAACGUUUUUCUCCCUUUUCUUUCAUCAGUCAUGUUUGUACAUUUCAGACCUUGUCAUUGUAUGUAUACUCUAAUAGAUGCUCGUGACUUGUGACACCGCGGUAUUGAGCUGUGUUUGGGUUGCAUUUCGUACUUUAUAAGGAAAUCUUUUACAGAGCUAUAGGAGUUUAGCGAGGUGACUGCUAGCGUUCGCAGCACCAUUUCCUCUCUUAUUUGUUCAUAACUCCUGUUUCUUGUAUUUGUAGACCUUGUAGAACUAUAUUCACACUCUAAUAGAUGCUUGUCACUUCUGACACCCCGGUUUGGGCUGUAUUAGGUUGUACUCCCACUAAUUAUUAUUAUUAUUAAUCAUAUUUAGACUGCUUAUGAACUGUUUAAUUAUUAAAAAAGAUGAAUUGGGUUUAGUUGGCUGGCCUUGUCCUUAUGAGAGGCGCCAUCAUGACCGGCUAUGGGUUUAGGGUCAUGACAAGAUGGUAUUAGAGACUAGGUUACUAGGUCUCAUGAGUCAUGAGCAGGUUUAGUAGAGUCUCGCGGAUCGGUACAGAGACGUCUAUAUUUAUCCUCGAGAGGUUGGCGAACCUUUAGGAAACUCCACAAUCUUGAAUUCUCAUCGUGCGUCCUUGAUUCAGGUUGAAAGGUAACUCUUGAAAUUCCUUCCACUCGUUCGCAUGCGCGCAUGAGCGCUCAAUAUUAGAUGUGCCUUAAUGGCUUGUGAUUCCCUGAUCGAGGGGUGAGAUGUGGCCUUUGCGAGUUUGAUGUUGGGCUAGUCUGAAGGACUUGAGGCCGGAUCUUUGCCUAUGGCUUGAGCACCGAGGUGCUGACUAUGUGAGUAAGUGUUUUGAACUUUCAUGUUCGGUAUUGUCGCUAUUGGUGAAAGUGGACGGCCAGAUAGCCACGUGACGAGUAUGUUAGUACCGUGAGAUGUAUCUGUAUGACGUGGAAGUGAGAAGGAAGUACUGAUGUAUGAUAAAUGAACUAUUACGUGCUUGAUUUCCGUUGUCAUUGAAUGUAUAGCCCCGAGUUAUGGGUGUUUGACGAAUCUUUUCAUGUUUCCUAGUUGGGAGGGGAGUAAAGUUCAUGUUACGAUAUGAGUUUAGACUCGGAAAGGCUAAGUGACUGUGCAAUGUUUGUGACGGUGGAAUGUAUAUAGAAAUAUUAUAUUGAGGCGAAGCAGGCGGGUUAUCUUCUUCGAAGUGAUCUGAUGUGGUCUGAUACCUAUGUGUAUGUUAGAAGACCUCAUGUGUGAUUGAAAAGUACGUGUUAAAAUUUGAAAUUUCAAGUCGCUUAAGAGGGUGGACUUAGCUGUUGUGGGGAUGAAUGCAAAGUUUGCAGAAGUUUUACAAUACUAGAUGAUCUGUAUUUUCACAACUUAUAAACGAUUUGAGUCUAGUCUCACUAUAGUAUUAUGGCGGCAAUAGCGUAUAAAUGUUAUGAGCUAUUGAGUGUAGCUUAAUCUAUGACUUCAAGCCAAGUGGGGGAGUCUGCGGUGAGCAGUUGAUUGCAUAGUUAGGUGCUAUAUUGGUUCCAGUUUGGAGAGUGCAAGUGAGUUAGCUAUGGCUAGAGUAAAGAAAUUUUUUGACAAAGGCUAUAUUGCUUCAUAGGGUUUGAGAAUCACAUAAUGUCUUAAGUUAUUGUUGGUAAGGAAUGCUUGGUGCAUAAAGUGGAUAGAUGCUUAGUUGUAGUUGGGUGAGGAUUCAUUCUGCGGUGCCAGAGUGCUAAUGAGGCACAGGUGGUUCUGUUUGCUCGAUCAGGCUAAUUGCAGUUUAAAUAGAGUGAAGGGUUCUCGAGAGUGGUUCUAAUGUGUUCAAGAUUCUACAUGCAAUAAUUGGGUAUCUUAAAGUUGUUUAUGUGAUUAGAAACUGAGUUUUCAUUGGAAGAGUUCAAGACUUGUGGUAAUUCUAUGUUAAUUAUGGGAUUCUAUGUAUUAGUAUCAGGAAGAUAAAGGUAACAUACCUAGAUUUGCAGGAAGUUCUUCAGAGUAAAUUAUUUAGGAAUGUGGUAUUUUGGGGAAAUACUUGUGUUUUGUAGACCUAGAUUCGCAGGAUGUUCUUUAGAGUAAAGUUUUCAGGAAUGUGGUGUUUCGGGGAAUAUUUGAGAGAGUAUUCAACGGCUUAUAGGUGUUAGUCAGUAUGGUUUUAUGCGGAGGUCUCGUGCGGUAGUCCUGGGUAGAGGCAUUGUGGCACUACAACAAGAGGAAAUAUCAAAUUGAUGAUGAAUAAGAAGAAAAUUUAGAUAGAUGGAGUAGCUUGAAAGUACAUCAAAUCGGUAUGGUAAGGAAAUGAUUAAUUCUUUGUAUAUGUUCGAGGUAAUGGGCUUUUACAUGUACUUUGCAGCAAUGCUCUUGGGUUUUGAUGGCUUGCCUAGCUUGGUCUAGUUAAAAGGGUUUAGUCCUGGAAGUUUAAUUUGUGCAAACGGAAUUGGGAGAGUUCUUGAUGAUUUCUACCGCGGUUGGAGAGGUGCAUUUUCUACGAAUAUGAGAGGCAUAGGAUGUGUACUGAUUUUCUUCUAUAUGGGAUCAACGGAAGUUCUUGACUAGUUCAGUACAUAAGUGUUCGUGGCUCGGAAGAGAGAUGGACUUCUCAUGUUAUCCUAGGAUAGUAUGGUAUAUGCGAUAUGUUAUGGAGGAUUGGGAUUUGCGUGUGUAAGGUUUUGGUUCAGUUCCGAAUGGGAAGUCAUGAAAUUCUUAAGCCGCACGGGCAGUUUUAAGUGAUUAGAGAAUACGAGCUUCAUAUGACUAAGGUGAAUGAUCUUCUGGUAAUUAAGAAAAUGGUAUUGCUAAUCAUAAGGAUUUUACGAGUGUAUAUGCUUAAGAAAAGGCAAUAUGAUUAGGUUGAUAGAACUUCGAUAAUAUUGUGGCACUCUCUUGAUUGGAUCGACCGCUGAUAUUCGAGUUUGCUUGAUGGCACACUGAAUUUCAAGAUAUCAUUCAUGCAAUGAUUGGGUAGUUGAGGUGAUAUGUAUUCGGGCGGCAGAAUUUGGGGUAAGACAUGGUGAUUUGUGUGCUAUAUGGAGUUGGAGACUGGAAGUUCUCGUGUUCAGGCUAUAUUGUUGUUGUGAGUCGCGUAUAUCGGCUGUUUAGCGACUAUUGGGAUUUGAAGACCCGAGUGGAUCUUUUUUCGCUUAGUAUGUUAGAUUUUAUACUUGAUAUUGGGUUCAGACUGGCUGUCUCUAUGUUGCGUCAUUCAGAACUAUUGUGUUAAGACGGCACUGUUGGCUAUGCAGGAAAAUGCCAUAGGAUAAGUGGCGAUGUUCGAUGUAUUAUAUCCAAUUGGGGAUCAGAAUGGUUGUCUCUGUGUUGCAUUAUUCAACACUAUUGCGUUAAGACAGCGAUGUUGGCUAUGCCAGAAAUUGCCACAGGUUGAGUGGCAAUGUUCGGCAGAUUAUGUCCUAUUAGGGGAUUCUAUAUUUGGGCUCUUAUGAUGAGCGUCAGUGCUGAGGCUCCUUAUAUUGAUUUAAUUUCGGUGGUAAAAGAAUUAUCGGAUAUGUUUCUCGUGGCCGGGCAUGUCGCCGGGCAAGGUUGUUGAUUUCGAUAUUGAUUUAGUGCCUUGCACUGUAUUGCAUGGCACUAACAGGAGUUAUAAUAGUGGAAGAACAGCUUCAGGCUUCCUUGACGAUGAGUUUGUUGGCAGGACAAAGUGGUUUCGAGUUCUAACUUGAGUUGGCCUGGUUAGUCCUAAAUUGUACUAUUGAGGGAUAUGUUGAUUCGAUCAUUAUUGAGCUUAAUAGAAAUCUUGGAGAUCUAAGAGUGGCCUUUUUGUGUUGCAAGACGUUAUGAUAUAUUAGUUAUGGACACAUAUGUUGUGGUUCCAUUGAGGUUCAUAGUGGAAUUUGAGCGGGAAGAGUAAUUGGAUGUUAUUCGCUGAAUUGCGUACCGGUUAUGUACUAUCGGGUUCCGUGGUAUGUAUUAUUUGUUUCAAUAUGAGUGUAAUGAUUUGCCUUGGUUCCAGACCUCAAAUUGCGCAUGGUUGUCGGUAUUGAGCAUAGUGAUUUGACGUGUUCCAUGUGGAGCAGUGUUUGGAUAGGAUCGUAUAUUGCAGCGAAGCUAUAUGAAGAUGACCUUGAGGGUUAGAUUCGUGUGUUCUAUUUCUAUGAUAUGAGACGGGUUUUCAACCUUGUGUUAUGAUGGAUCUUGUGAGCUUAAGGGACAACUCUUUCAUUAGGGUUAUUUUUAGGAUUUGAGUAUGUCCGGACUGUUGCUUAUUGGUGCGCAUAGUAUGCCAGUUGUGGCUUAGGCCUAUAUUGAUGUGUGAUGUCACCAGAGUAGUGUGUUGGAUCAGAAGAGAUUGUUGGUAUCAUUAAUGAAUACAGAUUCGAUUUCAGCAUGUUGGAAGGAUGAUUUCGAGGUUUGGCCCUCGAAAAAUUGCUAUGGUAAUUUCCAAGGAGAAGUGGCUUCAUGAAUGGUUGAUAUGAGAAAUGGUUAUGGCUUACUGCAUGUUGUAGUUAUCAUUGGAAUUAUAUAUACAUAAGGGUGUUGGAAUGAAACUUUAGUUGAUAAGGGUUUUUAAACUGGUAUUCGGGCGUGUGUGCAAAUGCUGUGAAUGGAAGUUAUCGCUUUGUGUGUUUGUGUUAUGUGGUAUAUCAUAUAAUUGCACUUGAGGUCGCAGACAUGGGUUAUUACAGCUAGUUUGGGCUUAUUCGGAGUGUAGGUGUGAGGUUUUGAUCGUAUUAAUGGGUUCAGAAGUGGAAAUGUGAUUCUAUGGUUUAUGAGCCAGAUUGAAUUGUGUAAUUUCAGUUAUAAUGUGUUAUCAAAUUUAUAUGAGAUAUGGUGACGUGGGAUCACCCCUGGUUAUAUGCAUGGAAAAGUUAUUCAGCUAUUGGUUGGCUUCUAGAACAACUUUGGGUACAUUCGAGGACGAACAUGUGUUUAAGUGAGGGAUGAUGUAACGACCCGACCGGUCAUUUUGAGCUGUUGAAAUUUGAACGCCAGAUCUUGGGCAUGACUUGCCCCGUGUAAUAUGCUAUGACUGAUAUAGAUCGUUGGUUUUGUGUUUCAAGAAAUUUGGAAUGAAUUUGAAAGAAACAGUCUCAGUUGAAAGCUUUGAAUUGACCAAGAAUUGACUUAUUUGUAUAUGAGUGCGGAUUGGAAUUUUUAUGAGUUGGUUAGCUUCAUUGGGUGAUUUAUGACUUAGGAGGACGACCGAAAUGCAUUUUGGAAGUCCAUGGAAGGAUUUGGCUUGAAUUGACGAAGUUAGUAUUUUUGCGAAUUCCGAUUGAUAAGUGAGAUUAUGAUAUAUAGGCCGGAAUGGAAUUUCGAGAGUUGCGGUAGCUUCGUUAUAUCAUUUGGGGUGUGUGUGCAAAAUUUCAGGUUAUUCAGACAUUAUUUGGUCACACUUUUGAUCGGAAGUGUAUUUCGGAAGUUUUUGGAAACUUUGGCAUGAAUUCGAUGAGUUUUGAGUAAUUUGAUGUUAUUUGAGGUGUUUUGAUGAUUGGAACAAGUUUGAAUGAUGUUAUGGAUUAUGUUGGUAUGUUUGGUUGAGGUCAAGAGGUCCUCGGGGUGAGUUCUGGAUAGGUCCCGCGGUGUCUAUAAGCUAAAAUAUAGCUGUUGGAGGCCUGGAGGGUCGAAUCCCUGAACCCACGACCGCUGUCCGCGGUUAUAUUUUCGCUGACCGUGGUAGGAGGUUUCACGGACGCAGUCAUGCUUUUGCGGUCCGCAGUAAAGGCGCUGGGCCACUGAUCUGACUUCGGAAACUCAUAUCUUUUGAUACUCAAGGAACUUUGAGAUGAUUCAAACAUGAAAGUUGUAGCUCUUUGAAUGUAGUUUUUUCAGAAUAUUAUAAUAGGAAUUUGGACAUCUGUAACGAGCGUCAUGGCCAAAAUCCUAAAGCAUGUCAUUGCAGAGAACACCUGUGCGGCCAAAGUCAUUUUUGCGCGGACGGCACUGGUUUUGCGCGGCUGCGGUCGAUUUUAUACGGCCCACGGAGGUCCAAAUCUGGGGGUUACUCAAUAAAUAUGAGGCUUUGUGUUUUAUUUGAUAGUUUUCCCUAGAGAGCUCGGGUUUUGGUGAUUUUCGAAGGUUUUUCAAGAAAUUCAUCGGAUAAGUGAUUCUAACUCAAAUUUGGCUAGAGUACAUGAAUCUAUCAUUAAAUUCAUGAUUCGGGAUGCAAUUUGGGAAGAAAAUUGUGGAAUCUUUCAAAAUAUAAAAUGAUGAUCCGAAGGACCAAAUGGUGUCGGAAUUGGAUAAUUUUUGUAUGGUUAGACUCGUGAGAGUACACGGAUUCUAGUUUUGUGAAUUUUUGUUAAAUCUAGAAAUGUGGGCCUAGGGUUGGGUUUGACCAAUUUUGGGAAUUUUGUGGUAAUUUGAUUAUUUUCAAGUGGGCUUUGUUCCCUUAGAAUAUUUUGAUGGUUUGGUACUGAUUUCGGCUAGAUUUGGAGCUUUUGGAUGCCGAUUCGAUAGGCAAAGGAAUCGUGGACUAGAGUUUUGGCCAUCUAGAGGUGAGUAAUGAUUCUAAAUGAUGUUCUAAGGGUUUGAAGCUCGAGAAUUGCAUAUCGUACUACUAUAUUAAGGUGACUUGCACGCCGGAUAGCGCGCGUGUGGUAGAGCACCAUUGGAGAUUGUGACUUGGUUCAUCCCGAUUGAUGAUUAUUACUGUGUAUUUGACUGAAACUUAUUUGUUAACCGCAUGAUUUGGGCUGAUUGCUAUAUUUGGGCUUCGUGCCAGCUAUUUGAACCCCUUCGCGGAUGAUUUGUCGAUAUUUCCUCACUAUUUUGAUUUUAUACUUGAACUCAGUCAUGUAUUUUCCAUUGUUUUCAAAACUCAGCAAAGUUUACUUUGAUUUAACACUUGAAAUGAGAUUUCUAACAAUAUUUUUGGUUGAGCAUCAUGUUGUACUGUUGCCCGAGAGGCUUAUGUGAUUUUUGACUGAGUAAGGCUGAUGGCCUAUGUUGUGAGGAUACUUUUGGAUCGGGCUGCACGCGUUAGUAGUGACAUAUUGAUACUGAUAUGAGGCCGAGGGCCUAGAUUUGAUGCCACAAGAUGGCUUGAUAUUUCUCUUGGGUCGUAAGGGGCCCCUCCUGGAGUUUGCACACCCGCAGUAAGUGCCUUCGAUGAUAAACGGAUCGGGCUGCACGUCACAUCGGCAUGUGGAUCAGGCUGCACGUGCAGCGGUGCCGGUACUAUUUUAUGUGUUUACUUCUUUAGUCUUUUGCCAUUAUCUGUAGCUGUGCUAUUUCGUGUGAUAUCUACCUGAUUGCCUGGCAUUUUUUGCUGAGUGAGUGUUGUGCCCGAGGGGUAAAUUUCCGUGCUUAUAUGAACUAGUUGUCUUGCACUCAUUUGCAUAGCUGAUAAAAAAAGUCAUUUUCAAAAGAGGUUCAAACUGAGCUAAGGCAUUUCCUAUGAUUUCACAGCUUUAUUGUUUUUCUCAAGAGGUUUUACACUGCUUCUAUACAGCAUGAUGAUUUGCCUUACGUGAUUUCUUACUGGUCAAUUGUUAUUUACCUUUAUUACUCACUGAAUUGGAGUACUCACUUUAUUCCCUACAACUCGUGUGUAGAUGCAAGUAUUUAUUCACCCGGUAGCGGGUUUUGGCUCAUUGGAGGCAUAGCUAUAGGAAUUUAGCGAGGUGACUGCCAGCGCUCGCAGUACCAUUUCCUCUCUCUUUUGUUCAUAACUCAUGUUUCUU
rnacentral:lncRNA from 1 species